rnacentral:rRNA from 1 species
UACGGAGGGGGCUAGCGUUGUUCGGAAUUACUGGGCGUAAAGCGCACGUAGGCGGCUUUGUAAGUUAGAGGUGAAAGCCCGGGGCUCAACUCCGGAAUUGCCUUUAAGACUGCAUCGCUAGUAUUGUGGAGAGGUAAGUGGAAUUCCGAGUGUAGAGGUGAAAUUCGUAGAUAUUCGGAAGAACACCAGUGGCGAAGGCGACUUACUGGACACAUAUUGACGCUGAGGUGCGAAAGCGUGGGGAGCAAACAGG